AGCCACCUCUGAACCCUCCACUCUCUCAAACACUCUCGAACCUUCUCAAACCCUAGUCGCCUCAUACCAUCUCCGCCCCGAAAGCCACCAGAAUCUAUGGCUUCCAAGGCUAUGAGAGUCCUACACUGGCCUCCUAUGACUCCCACGUGCCUGAUUUCUGAAGAUUUAAGGCCUGACUAUGAAGGGUCGUAUCUAGACCUCUGUCGAUUCGAAGUUUCAUGGUCAUCUCCAACUUUGCUUCGGCGUACCAUGGUUGUUUGAGCCUGAUUCUGACCUCUCUGACUCAGAUCAGUGACUUUUCAAAGCCUUUCUUAUUUCUAGGGUUUUUCUGAAACCCUAACCCUUCGAGGUUUUCUCCGAUUCCUUUAGAUCUGUUGUGUUUCUAUGCUUUCCCUGAGUUUUCAAAGGAUUUCUCUGAUUUUUCUUUCAAAAAUUAGUUUCAAAAACAUUUCUUCUCCGAUCUAGGGUUUUCUGAAAAUAUUUCUCUGACUUUCUUCCUUUUUCCUUUGUGUGUAUUUGCCUCUACUGUGGUCUUGUAUUUCUCUUUUACCAUGUUCUUGUAUGCUUCUCCUACUGUGUUUUCCUAUACUAUGUUCUCGCAUGCUUUUCUACUGUAUUUCUUUUCUCCUGUGUUCUUGUGUUUCUUCUACUCUAUUUUCAGUUCUUAAGUUUCCUUAUUUAGUUCUUUCUACUGAGCUCUCUUUAAGUUUCUUCUAAAAUUUCUUAGCAUGCUUCUUCUACUGUUCUUAUCAGUCUUUUCCAUUAUGUUUCAUAUUAGCUUGUUCUACUCUGUUUUCUUUGAAUUCUUCUACUAUGUUCUGCUUGUUACUUGCUAUCAUUUUUUCCCAUGAGUUUCUGCUGCUGAAAGAAACAUGCAAGGGGUCUCAGUUCUUCUCUAAGACCUCUGAGCCUGUUUCGAUCACUUACCUUCACAUCUCUGUACUCGGUUAAUGGUAGAAACCCUAGAAUUCGGGGUUCUUCCAAGUUUGGUUAUGUGAUUGGCUUGAACUAGGGUUUUAUUUCAUAACCCCUAAUUCUUUCAAACCAAUUUCGGGUCUCUAAACUGAGUUUGGACAUCUUUUGAUUCUGGCUUUUUGCUAAACUCUUCCACACUGGAUUUUUCUACUGAUUUUACAAUGACACAACAACCUUCUUUCAUGCUUAACAUGUUCGUAUGCUCUUUAUAUAUGACGAACUUCCCUCUAAAGUAGUUUUUAAAUUUGUGAUUAGUUCAUACCUCCCUCUGAAUAUGGUCUGAUUCAUUCCUUUCCAUUGAUUGCUGAUUUCCCUUGAGUUAAAACCUUUCUCACCUUUCUUGACUCGGUUCAUUCAUACAAAAAUCCCUGACCUUUGAUUUACUGGCUGUUAAUUGAUUUUCUUACCUUAUUUGUACAACCGUGUACUUCAAAACCCUAUCCUUAAAAUAACCUUUUAUGUAUUUGCCCCUAAUUGCAUGUUGUGCACAAAGUGCUUACUCAAUUUCUUUCCUUAAAUGGUUUUUACCCGUUUGAAUCUGAAUCCCUUAAUUAAAGGGAGUCUUGUGUAAUUGAUUGACAAUCAGUUCCUCAACUAUUUUCUUACCUUAUUUCUGCCUGAUUUUGCACUAUAAAAGGCACGACCUUCUUCACAAACAAUAAGACUUUUUCAGAAUCCUUCUGAACUCAUACUCUCUCAUAAUAAUAUUCUCUUCUUGUCUGCACUGUGUCCUGUUUUACAAGACCUACUGUUUUUCUUUACUUGUUUUCCUGAAAACUGGUAUGUCCGGAUUUAAUUCUUAGCACCACAACAAUGUGUAUUUGCUGCUUUUGUAUCCAUGUUCACCUGCUGUUCUGUAUAUCUCAGCACUUAAAUUGGCAUGCUGAUUUCCUUAUGUGUGUUCCCCAUUCCCCUAUCACCCCUAUGUGUUUUGAGUUGUCACUUAAGGCAUGGCAAUGCAAGUUGUUGUCCACGAAUUAAGUUUGAACCAUUGGGGUUUUGACUAUAAGCAAACAAGCUGGAAGGUGUGCCAGUAUCUCCCAUUGCUGGGUAUGCCCUUCAGCCUGCUUUUCUUUUGCCUCUUGCAACUUCCCCAUUCCCCUAUACCCUUAUGUGUACUGAUUUUGUAAUGACCUGACUGGUCAUUUUGAGCUUUUGCACUUUGCUCGCCAGUUCUUGGGCAUGACUAACCCUGUGUGAUGAAUUAUAACUUAUUUAAAUCGUUGGUUUUGGUUUUUAGGAAAAUUGGAAUGAAUUUGAAAGAAUAGUCUCAGAUGAAAGCUUUGAAUAGGAGUGUGAUCGCAAAUGGUUUUGGAGGUCCGGUGUAGAAUUAGGCUUGAAUUGGCGAAGUUAGUAUUUUGGCGAUUUUCGGUUGGUAGGUGAGAUUUUGAUCCGAGGGUCGGAAUGAAAUUUUGAGAGUUGUUGUAGCUUCGUUAUGUCAUUUGUGAUGUGUUUGCAAAAUUUUAGGUCAUUUGGACGUGGUUUGGUUGGGUUUUUGAUCAAAAGCGUAUUUCGGAAGAUUUUAGAAACUUAGGCUUGAAUCUGAUGUGAUUUGGUAGAUUUGAUGUUGUUUGAGGUGUUUUGACGAUUGGAGAAAGUUUGACUAAGGUAUUGGGUUAUGUUUGUGCUUUUGGUUGAGGUCCCGGGGCCUCGGGAUGAUUUCGGGUGGUUAACGGAGAAGUUUGAUGUUGAUUACAGCUUCAUAUUUUACUGGUUCUGGUGUUUUCACACCUGCGGUUUGGGGACCGCAUGUGCGGUGUCGCACGUGCGAAAGGGAAGGCGCAAAUGCGAUUUGGAGGAGUAGAGCUAGGAGCCGCAGAUGCGGUAUAUGGACCGCACCUACGGAGUCGCAGAUGCGAUGAGGUGACCGCAGAUGCGGCUCAAGCCGGUUUUAAUGAAUUCCGUAGAAGCGGAUGAGUUGACCGCAUAUGCGGUACCGCAAAAGCGGAUUUUUGGACCGCAGAUGCGGUUAUGCCUGGGGCAGAAUGUUUAAAAGAUGGGUUUCGCGAUUUUUGGUCUAUUUUCUCAAUUGUUGAGCAAUUUUUGGAGCUUUUGAGAAGAAUUGAAGAGGGAAUCAAAGGGAAUCACUUGGAGGUAAGAUUUUUGGACUCAAUACUCGAUUCUUGUGUGAAUUCCACCUAAUUAAUCAUGGAAUUAAGCCUAAAAAUUGAGGAAUUAGGGCUUGAAAUUGGAGAGUAAAUUUUUAGAAUUUGAGUGACCAUAUGAGGUCGGAUUUUGGUAAAUUUGAUAUGUAUGAACUCUUGAGAGGAUGAGGAUUUCAUUGAUGUUAAUUUCUGAGUUUCGAGAAGUGGGCCCGGGGCUCGGGUUUUGCUAAUUUCGGAAUUUUUGGUAUUUUUCAAUUGUUUUUGCUUGGGCUUUGUUCCCUUAGCAUAUUGUGACGUAUUCGUUCUGAUUUUGGAUAGAUUCAACGUGCGUGGAGGCCGAUUUGGGGGCAAAGGCAUCGCGAGCUAGAGAUUUAGCCGGUUAGAGGUAAGUAAUGAUUGUAAAUGCUAUUCUGAGGGUUGGAAACCCCGGAUUACACAUCGUUGUGCUAUGUUGAGGUGACUUAUACGCUAGAUGACGAGCAUGGGGUAGAGCACCGCUGGGGAUUGUGACUUAGUCCAUUCCGAAUGAUUAUUUUAAUGCGUAAUUGAUAGUUAAUUGUUUGAUGUUAUUAUAUUUUGGGUUGUAUGCCAUGUUUGGGGCCUUGUGCCAACCUGCUGAGACCCUUAGGGGCACUUCCACUAUUUUUCCUCACUCUAUUAUUUUGAAAGCAUAUCCUCAAUCGUGUUUUACCUAUUUAUUGUUUAAAUCUAGUUUACCAUUUUAUUUCUUAAAAAUAUGAAAACUGUUUGGGUUGAGUUCCCUGUUUUACUGAUGGUCCGAGUGAUCGUGAGGUUGAUGACUGAGAUAGACCGUGAGUCUGGUGGUGAGGUUAAAAACUGAGAGAGGCCGAGAGCCUGGUUGUGAGGAUUAUAUAGUUAUGGAUCGGGCUGUACGCCAUAACAAUACUUAUAUAGAUCGUGUUGCAUGCCGCAUCGAUAUAGUUCUUGGGCUGUAGGAGUCCCUCCGGAGUCUGCACACCCCCAGUGAGCGCCGUCGACGAGAUAUAUGGAUCGGGCUACACGCCGCGGCGAUAUAUGGAUCGAGCUACGCUCCGCAGCGGUUACUAUAUGGUACCUAUUGAGCGUGAGUGCUGAGUGUGAGCACUGAUUUAGUAAGAGUUAAGUCACGAGUGACCGAGAGGCUAGCCCGAGGGGCGAUAGAUAUAUACAUGCACCUGAGUGAUGCUUUGCCCGAGAGGCCUGUUUAGGAACUUAUUGAUUUUUACUCCUCUUUAAGUGAGUUCCCAUCAAAUAUGUAGAUUUAUUGACUGCUUUCACUCAUCUUUAUAUCGAGCCUCUGUCAAAAAUGUUGAAUUAAUGUAUUUAAACAACUUUCAUUUAAGCUGGGGUUUAUGAGAUGUUCAGAACUUCCUCACUGAUUUGGCUCUUGUUAUUUCUACAGAGAUUUCCUUGUUAGGAGGUAUUUAUGACUCCUGUUUUGCCGAGGGGCCGAUUUUGGUUUUCAUCUCUUUUAUUAUAAAUGGUAUUGAAUUCCUACUGAAACCGUUAGAAGGUAUUUUAACUGAUUUUUACCAAAAGCUGGAUUUUGAAAUGAGACAAAUGACUCGUAUUCUGAUUUGAAAGCCUGUUGCGCUUAUUGAGUUUAUCAUAACUGUGGAUUCAUCUUUUCCUACUACUCAGUCUUUAUUUACUCUUAUUACUUACUAGGUUGGAGUACUCACAUUACUCCCUACACCUCGUGUGCAGAUUCAGGUAUUUUGGAACCCGGUAGCGAGUGUUGGUUUCUCAAACGCGGAGUCAUUAGAGUUAGCAAGGUGGCUGCACGACGUUUGCAACACUGCUUCCUUCCUCUCAUUUUCAUUUCUGUACUUAGUACAUUUUGGCUAUUUUUGUUGUAUUCAGACCUUGUUAGAUGCUCAUGGCUAGUGACACCCCGAUAUCGGGCUUGUAUGUUAUUUCCUCACUAUUCAUUCAAACUUAUAUUAUGAAAUAUUAUUUAAUUAAAGGUUUAUAAAGGAAUCUUAUUGAUUAAAGGGUUAAUAUGGGUGUUGUGUCGGCUAGCCUUGUCUUCACGAGAGGUGCCAUCAUGACUGGGCCUGUUCGGGGUUGUGAUAAGUUGGUAUCAGAGCCUAGGUUACAUAGGUCUCACGAGUUAUGAGCAGGUUUAGUAGAGUCUCGUGGAUCGGUACAGAUACGUCUGUAUUUAUCCUUGAGAGGAUGCAGAACCUUUAGGAAAACUUCACAUUCUUGAAUUCUUAUCGUGCGUUCUUUGAUUCAGCUUGAAUGUAACUCUUUGAAUUCCUUCCAUGGGUUCGUGUGUGCGCAUGAGCUCUCAGUAUUGGAUGUGCAUCGAUGGCUUGUGAUUCCCUGAUCGAGGGGGAGAUGUGAUCUCUGUGUGUUGAGGUUGGGCUAGUCUGGAGGACUUGAGGCCGGAUUUUUGCCUAUAGCUUGAGCACCGAGAUGCUGAUUGUGUGAGCAAGUGUUUUUGAACUUAUAUGUUCGGUAGUGUCCUUGUUUGUGGGAGUGAUGGCUGGAUGGCUUCGUGAUGAGUAUAUUAUGACUGCGAGAUAUGUCCGUUCGAAUUAGAAGCGACGAGAAGGGUCUGUUGGAGGAUAGAAGAACUAUUAGAUGCUUGAAUUCCAUUUAGGUUCGAGGUAUAGCCCCGAGUUGUAGGCGUGUGAAGAGUUUUUUCAUGUUUCCUAGUCGGGAAUGAAGUAAAUUUUAUGUCGCGGUAUGAGUUCAGACUCAGGAAGACUAAGUGACUGUGUAAUGUUUGUGACGGUGGGAGGUAUACAGGAAUGUUAAUUGACGACAAAUAGGUGGAUUAUCUCCUGCGGAAUGUUCUGAGGUUGUGUGAUCCUCAUGUUGUCGGCUAGAAGAUCUCAUUUACAAAGUGAAAUAUAAGUGUUGAAGAUUUAAAUUUGGGCCGCUUAAGAGAGUGGGCUUGACUGUUGCGGGGAUGAAUGCGAGAUUGGCAGAAGAUUCAAGUACUAGAUGAUCUGUGUCUUCACCAUCUUACAAAGGAUUUAAGUUUAAUCUCACUACAGUAUUAUGGCAUCAAUAGAGUAUAUGCGUUAUGAGUUAUUGAGUAUGUGUUGAUCUAUGGCUUCGAGCCAAGUGGGGGAGUCCACUAUCGAUUAGUUGAUUGCACGAUUAUGUUCUAUAUUGGUUCCAGUUGGAGGCAUGCAGGUGAAUCAGUUAUGGCUUACGGAGGUUUGAGACCGAGGAUGGCUCGAGCAAAAGAAUUUUUUUACAUAGGUUAUGUCAUGCUUCAUAGGUGUAUAAGAAUCACGGGAUGUCUUGAGCUGUUGUUGGUAAAGGAUGCUCGGUGCAUAGAGCAGGAAGUUGCUUGGUUGUAUUGGGAUGAGGUUGCAUUCUGUAGUGUCUGAAGUGCUAAUGAGGCACAGGUUGUCGGUUAUUUUGAUCGGGCUAAUUGCAGUUUGAGUAGAGUGAAUGACUCUCGAAAUGGUUCUACUGUGUCCAAGAUUUUACAUGUAACAAUUGGGUAUUUUCAAGUUGUAUAUGUGGCUAGAAACUGAGUUUCGCUGGAAGAUGUCAAGAGUAGUGUUUUCUAUAUUUAUUAUGAGUUUCUAUAGGUAUUUCGCGGCAGUGCUCUUAGGUUUUGAUGGCUUGUGUAGCUUGGUCAAGUUAGAAAGAUUCAGUCUUGGCGGGUCUGGUUUGUGCAAGGGGAACUCGGAGAGUUCUUGAUAGUUUCUACCUCGAUUGGAGAUGUAUAUUUCCUAUGGGCAUAAAGAGCAUGGUAUGUAUAGUGAGUUUCUUCUAGAUUGGAACAAUGGAAAGUUCUUGGUUGGCUGAGCACAGAGUUGCUGGUGGCUCAGAAGGGAUAUGAAGUUCUUGCAGUUAUCCUAGAGUGGUAUGGUUGGUGCGGUAUGUUGUGUAGGAUGGAGAUUGGCAUGUGUAGGUCACGGUUCAGAUUUGAAUAGAGGGUCAUAAAUUCUUAGGCAGCACUGGCAGUUUCAGAUAACUAGAGAAAUGAGCUUCAGAUGAUUUGAGAAAUGAUCUUCAGAUGAUUAAGGAAAUGGUAAUGCUAAUUGAGGUGAUUAGACGAUGGUAUAUGUUUCAGAGAGAGGCAAGGUGAUUAAGUUGAUGGUACUUCGGUAGUAUUGCAACACUUCUUGUUAGAUCGACUGCUGAUAUUUGAGUUUGCUUGAUGGCACUAGGGAAUUUUAGAGAAUCUCUCGUGGAAUGAUUGGGAUCAGGUGUGGUGAUUCGUGUGCUAUAUGGAGUUGGAGACUAGGAGUUCUCGUGUUCAGGCUAUGUUGUGGUCGUGGGUUGUAUGUAUUGGCACUGUUUAGUGACUAUCAGGGUUUGGAGAACCAAGCGGAUCUUUUGUUACUUGGUAUGCUAAUUUUUGGAUGUGAUAUUGGGUUUAGAUUGGUUGUCUCCAUAUUGUGUCAUUUUGGAAUAUUGCGCUAAGGCGGCGCUGUUGGCUAUGUCGGAGAUACCACAGAUUGAGUGGCAAGGUUCGACGGAUUAUGUCCUAGUAGAGAGAUUUUAUAUUUCGAAGACCCAGCGAACGGCUGGGAAGAAUUGUCUUUCUUAUAUGGGCUUUCGUGAUAGAUGUUAGUGCAGAGGCUUCUACCAUUGAUUCAGUUUCGGUGGUGAGGGACUUUUUGGAUGUGUUUCUUGUGGCGGGGCAUGCCGCUGGGCAAGGUUGUUGAUUUCAGUAUUGAUUUGAUGCCGGGCACCGUGUAUCGUAUAGCACUAACAGAGUUAUAGGGGUAGAAGGAGCAACUUCAGGACUUUCUUGACAAGGAGUUCAUUGGCAGACCAAUGUAGAUGCCUAUUCUAACUUGAGUCGGCUUGGUUGGCACCAAAUUGUAUUAUUGAGGGAUGUAUUGAUUCGAUUGUUAUUGAGCUCAUUAGUAAUCUGGGGUCUAUGAGUUACAUUUCUAUGUUGCGAGAUGUAUGAUUUGUUGGUUAUGGGCACAUAUGGUGAGGUUCUAUUGGGGUUUCAUAGUAGAAGUUGAGCGGGAAGAGUAUUGGGUGUUGUUCAGUGAAUGGCGUAUCGAUUAUGUCCUUUCGGGUUUGUGUGAUAUAUGUUAUUGGCUUCACCGUGGUUAUGAUGAUUUACUUUGGUUCUAGACAUCAAAUUGUGCGUGGUUGUCAAUUUCGAGCAUAGUGACUCGAGGAGUUUCGUGUGGAGCAACAUUUGGAUAGGAUCACACGUUGCAGCGAAGAUAUGUGGAGUUAUGAUCUUGCAGGUUAGAUUCAUGUGUUCUAUUUCUAUGAUGAGAGACGGGUUCUCAGCCUUGUGUUGUGAUGGUAUUGGUGAGCUUGAGGGGCAACUCUUUCGUUAGAGUCAUUUUCAUGAUUUGAGUAUGUUCGGACCGUUGCUUAUUGGUGCGUGUAUUAUGCAAGUUGUGGCUUAAGCCUGUAUUGAUGUGUCAUGUUACCAGGGUAGUGUGUUGGAUCAGAGGAGAUCAUUGGGAUCAUUAAUGAAUACGAACGGAUUUGAUUUCAGCAUGUUGGAAGGAUAAUAUCGAGGUUCGGCUUAGAAAUUGCUAUGGUUUUUUGCCAAAGGAGAAGUGGCUUCAUGAAUGGUUGAUCUGAGGAAUGGUUAUGUCUUACGGUGUGGUUUAUUUAUCAUUGGCAGUAUAUGGAAGUUGGGGAUGAGACUUUGGUUGAUAAGAGGUUUUCUACCAGUAUUCGGUUGUUAUGUGCAGCUGUUGCGAUUAGAAGUUAUCGCUACAAGUGGUUGAGGUAUGUGGUAUACCAUGUAAUUGCACCUGAGGUUGCAGGCAUGGGUUAUUACAGCCAGUUCGGGCUUAUUCGGAGUAUAGAUGUGAGAUUUUGAUCUUGUGGAUGAUCUCAGGAGUGGAAAUGUGGUUCUAAGGUUUAUGGGCUAGGUCGGAUUGUGAAAUUCCAGUUGCAUUGUAUUAUCAGACCUAUAUGUGAUAGGGUGACAUGGGAUCACCCCUGGUAUGUGCAUAGUAGGGUUAUUCAGUGAUUGGUUGGCUUUUGGAACAACUCUGGGCACGUUCGAGGACGAACGUAUGUUUAAGUGGGGGAGGAUGUAACGACUCGACUGGUCAUUUUGAGCUUUUGCACUUUGCUCGCCAGUUCUUGGGCAUGACUAGCCUGUGUGAUGAAUUAUUACCUAUUUAAAUCGUUGGUUUUGGUUUUCAGGAAAAUCGGAAUGAAUUUGAAAGAACAGUCUUAGAUGAAAGCUUUGAAUUUGAAAAGUUUGGCCAAGAGUUGACUUAUUUGUAUAUGAGCUCGGAAUGGAAUUUUUAUGAUUUGGUUAGCUUCGUUGGGUGAUUUAUGACUUAGGAGUGUGAUCGGAAAUGGUUUUAGAGGUCUGGUGUAGAAUUAGGCUUGAAUUGGCGAAGUUAAUAUUUUGGCGAUUUCCGGUUGGUAGGUGAGAUUUUGAUCCGAGGGUCGAAAUGAAAUUUCGAGAGUUGCUGUAGCUUCAUUAUGUCAUUUGUGAUGUGUGUGCAAAAUUUCAGGUCAUUUGGACGUGGUUUGGUUGGGUUUUUUAUCAAAAGCGUAUUUCGGAAGAUUUUAGAAACUUAGGCUUGAAUCUGAUGUGAUUUGGUAGAUUUGAUGUUGUUUGAGGUGUUUUGACGAUUGGAGCAAGUUUGAAUAAGGUAUUGGGUUAUGUUUGUUCUUUUGGUUGAGGUCCCGGGGGCCUCGGGAUGAUUUCAGGUGGUUAAUGGAGAAGUUUGAUGUUGAUUGCAGCUUCAGAUUUUGCUGGUUCUGGUGUUUUCGCAUCUACGAUUUGGAAACCGCGGGUGCGGUGUCGCACGUGCGGAAGGGAAGGCGCAGAUGCGGUUUGAAGGAGUAGAGCCAGGAGCCAAAUAUGCGGAAUAUGGACCGCACCUGCGGAGUCGCAGAUGCAACGAGGUGACCGUAGAUGCGGCUAAGGCCGGUUUUAAUGAAUUCUGCAGAAGAGGAUGAGUUGACCGCAUAUGCGGUACCGCAAAAGCAUAUUUUUGGACCGCAGAUGUAGUUAUGCCUGGGGCAGAAUGUUUAAAAGAUGGGUUUCGCGAUUUUUGGUCUAUUUUCUCCAUUGUUGAGCAAUUUUUGGAUCUUUUGAGAAGAAUUGAAGAGGGAAUCGAAGGGAAUCACUUGGAGGUAAGAUUUUUGGACUCAAUACUCGAUUCUUGUGUGAAUUCCACAUAAUUAAUCAUGGAAUUAAGCCUAAAAAUUGAGGAAUUAGGGCUUGAAAUUGGAGAGUGAAUUUUUAGAAUUUGAGUGACCAUAUGAUAUUGGAUUUUGGUAAAUUUGAUAUGUAUGAACUCGUAAGAGGAUGGGGAUUUCAUUGAUGUUAAUUUCUGAGUUUCAAGAAGUGGGCCCGGGGCUCGAGUUUUGCUAAUUUCGGGAUUUUUGGUAUUUUUGAUUGUUUUCGCUUGGGCUUUGUUCCCUUAGCAUAUUGUGACGUAUUCGUUCUGAUUUUGGAUAGAUUCGACACGCGUGGAGGCCGAUUUGAGGGGAAAAGGUAUCGCGAGCUAGAGAUUUAGCCAGUUCGAGGUAAGUAAUGAUUGUAAAUGCUGUUCUGAGGGUUUGAAACCCCGGAUUACACAUCGUUGUGCUAUGUUGAGGUGACUUACACGCUAGAUGACGAGCGUGGGGUAGAGCACCGCUGGGGAUUGUGACUUAGUCCAUUCCGAACGAUUAUUUUAAUGCGUAAUUGAUAGUUAAUUAUUUGAUAUUUUUAUAUUUUGGGUUGUAUGCUAUGUUUGGGGCCUUGUGCCGACCUGCUGAGACCCUUAGGGGUACUUCCACUAUUUUUCCUCACUCUAUUUGUUUUGAAAGCAUAUCCUCAGUCGUGUUUUACCUGUUUAUUGUUUAAAUCUGGUUUACCACUUUAUUUCUUAAAAAUAUGAAAACUGUUUGGGCUGAGUUCCUUGUUUUACUGAUGGUCCGAGUGAUCGUGAGGUUGAUGACUGAGAUGGACCGUGAGUCUGAUUGUGAGAUUAAUGACUGAGAUAGGCCGAGAGCCUAGUUGUGAAGAUUAUAUAGUUAUGGAUCGGGCUACACGCCGCCGCAAUAUAUAUAUAUAUAUAUAUGUAUGUAUAUAUAUAUAUGUAUGUUUAUAGAUUGGGCUGCACGCCGCAGCGAUAUGUUGGAUCAGGCUGCACGCCACAGCGAUAUAGCGCUUGGGCUGUAAGAGCCCCUCCGGAGUCUGCACACCCCCAGUGAGCGCCGUCGACGAAAUAUAUGGAUCGGGCUGCACGCCGCAGUGAUAUAUGGAUCGGGCUGCGCGUCGUAGUGGUUACUAUAUGGUACCUAUUGAGCGUGAGUGCUGUGUGUGAGCACAGAUUUAGUAAGAGUUGAGUCGCGAGUGACUGAGAGACUAGCCCAAGGGGCGAUAGAUAUGUACAUGCACCUGCGUGAUGCUUUGACUGAGAGGCCUGUUUAGGAACUUAUUGAUUUUUACUCCUCUUUAAGUGAGUUCCCAUCGAAUAUGUAGAUUUAUUAACUGCUUUCACUCAUCUUUAUAUCGAGCCUCUGUCAAAAAUGUUGAAUUAAUGUGUUUAAACAACUUUCAUUUAAGCUGGGGUUAUGAGAUGUUCAGAACUUCCUCAUUGAUUUGGCUUUUGUUAUUUCUACAGAGAUUUCCUUGUUAUGAGGUAUUUAUGACUCCUGUUUUGCCAAGGGGCUGAUUUUAGUUUUCAUCUCUUUUAUUAUAAAUAGUAUUGAAUUCCUACUGAAACCGUUAGAAGGUAUUUUAAUUGAUUUUUACCAAAAGCUAAAUUUUGAAAUGAGACGAAUGACUCGUAUUCUGAUUUGAAAGCUUGUUGCGGUUAUUGAGUUUAUCAUAAUUGUGGAUUCAUUGUUUCCUACUGCUCAGUCUUUAUUUACUCUUAUUACUUACUGGGUUGGAGUACUCACAUUACUCCCUGUACCUCGUAUGCAGAUUUAGGUAUUUUGGAACCCGGUAGUGGGUGUUGGUUGCUUAGACGCGGAGUCAUUAGAGUUAGCAAGGUGGCUACACGAUGUUCGCAACACUGCUUCCUUCCUCUCAUUUUUAUUUCUGUACUUAGUACAUUUUGACUGUUUUUGCUGUAUUCAAACCUUGUUAGAUGCUCAUGGCUAGUGACACCCCGAUGUUGGGCUUGUAUGUUAUUUCCUCACU
rnacentral:lncRNA from 1 species